AUAGCAUUUGUGUACCCUUCAAUAAAUUGAUCAUAUCUUUCAAACCAUAAGGAAUUUCUUGAUGAAACUUUUUUUGUUUGAAUGUAGACUCAAUUUUGUGCGUCACAACAAAAAUAUUAGCAAGAAACAAAAUCAUAUAAUUGGUAGGAAAAAUCACGAAACUCAAGGGACAGUUUCUCGAUUUUGCAGAGUCAGAACUAACACCUUUCAUUGAUGAUUUCAUAACUCUCAAUUCCUUAGGAUCUCCCACUGAAAUUUUGCAGGUUGAUUCUAAUAUCAAUUACACACAAUAUCACUGAAAUAUGCAAUAAAAAAAUACAUCAUUAUCUUCUUCAUAUCACUGAUCCAAAAUAACCU
rnacentral:lncRNA from 1 species